GCCUGGGUUGGGUCAGCUUGGGUUAAGUUAGCUAUGUGGUUGGUAGACGGAUGAUCUAAACCGUUGGUUUUCGAUCACUACGACACGGGUUCGAUUCCCGUAUUAGGCA